rnacentral:rRNA from 1 species
CAGUAGCCACGGGAAUACGGAGGAUCCAAGCGUUAUCCGGAAUCAUUGGGUUUAAAGGGUCCGUAGGCGGUCUUGUAAGUCAGUGGUGAAAGCCCAUCGCUCAACGGUGGAACGGCCAUUGAUACUGCAGGACUUGAAUUAUUGGGAAGUAACUAGAAUAUGUAGUGUAGCGGUGAAAUGCUUAGAGAUUACAUGGAAUACCAAUUGCGAAGGCAGGUUACUACCAAUUGAUUGACGCUGAUGGACGAAAGCGUGGGUAGCGAACAGGAUUAGAUACCCCGGUAGUCCCUGUCUCUUAUAA